GAGUUUGAUCGUGGCUCAGAUUGAACGCUGGCGGCAUGCCUAACACAUGCAAGUCGAACGGCAGCGCGGGGAGCUUGCUCCCUGGCGGCGAGUGGCGGACGGGUGAGGAAUGCAUCGGAAUCUGCCCAGUCGUGGGGGAUAACCCGGGGAAACCCGGACUAAUACCGCAUACGACCUUCGGGUGAAAGCGGGGGACCCUUCGGGGCCUCGCGCGGUUGGAUGAGCCGAUGCCGGAUUAGCUUGUUGGCGGGGUAAUGGCCCACCAAGGCGACGAUCCGUAGCUGGUCUGAGAGGAUGAUCAGCCACACUGGGACUGAGACACGGCCCAGACUCCUACGGGAGGGCAGCAGUGGGGAAUAUUUGGACAAUGGGGGGCGAACCCCUGAUCCAGCAAUGCCGCGUGUGUGAAGAAGGCC
rnacentral:rRNA from 1 species